rnacentral:other from 1 species
AAUUCCCUGAAAUGUUCGUGGGGAUGCGACGGUGCCGGCCUCACAUUCGUCGUUAGGGAGCCGGUCGCCGAAGUGGUGUUCAUGCCCGGUCUGCCGGGAAGUCUGAAGCUUCGGCCAAGCCCCCACCCUGGGACACCAGGUCUCGUGCUCGCGCAUGCUCACGGCAUUUUGGGGACUUU